rnacentral:rRNA from 1 species
AUUGCACGCUGGCGGCAGGCCUAACACAUGCAAGUCGAACGAGUGGCGGACGGGUGAGUAAUGUCUGGGAAACUGCCCGAUGGAGGGGGAUAACUACUGGAAACGGUCGCUAAUACCGCAUACCAUCGGAUGUGCCCAGAUGGGAUUAGCUCGUAGGGGGGGUAACGGACCACCUAGGCGAAGAUCCCUACCUGGUCUGAGAGGAUUACCAGCAACACUGGAACUGAGACACGGUCCAGACUCCUACGGUAGGCAGCAGUGGGGAAUAUUGCACAAUGGGCGCAAGCCUGAUGCAGCCAUGCCGGGUGUAUGAAGGGGGCCUUCGGGUUGUAAAGUACUUUCAGCGAGGAGGCGUUACUCGCAGAAGAAGCACCGGCUAACUCCGUGCCAGCAGCCGCGGUAAUUC